UUAGAGGAAGUAAAAGUCGUAACAAGGUUUCCGUAGGUGAACCUGCGGAAGGAUCAUUAUUGAAUAAACUUGGUUGGGUUGCUGCUGGUUCUUCGGAACAUGUGCACACCUGGCGCCAUUUUUACCACCUGUGCACCUUUUGUAGACCUGGAUAUCUCUCGAGGAAACUCGGUUUGAGGACUGCUGUGCGCAAGCCAGCUUUCCUUACAUUUCCGGUCUAUGUUUUUAUAUACCCCAUCAGAAUGUAACAGAAUGUCAUUAAUAGGCCUUGGUGCCUUUAAAUAAAAUACAACUUUCAACAACGGAUCUCUUGGCUCUCGCAUCGAUGAAGAACGCAGCGAAAUGCGAUAAGUAAUGUGAAUUGCAGAAUUCAGUGAAUCAUCGAAUCUUUGAACGCACCUUGCGCUCCUUGGUAUUCCGAGGAGCAUGCCUGUUUGAGUGUCAUUAAAUUCUCAACCUUUCUGGCUUUUAUUAGUCCGUUAGGCUUGGAUGUGGGAGUUGCGGGCUUCUCAGAAGUCAGCUCUCCUUAAAUGCAUUAGCGAAACCUUUGUUGACCAUCUCUGGUGUGAUAAUUAUCUACGCCAUUGGGAAGCAGCUUUAAAAUCGGUUUAGCUUCUAACCGUCUUCUGGACAAUUCUUGACAUUUGACCUCAAAUCAGG
rnacentral:rRNA from 1 species